rnacentral:rRNA from 1 species
AGAACGAACGCUGGCGGCAUGCCUAACACAUGCAAGUCGAACGAGACCUUCGGGUCUAGUGGCGCACGGGUGCGUAACGCGUGGGAAUCUGCCCUUGGGUUCGGGAUAACAGUUGGAAACGACUGCUAAUACCGGAUGAUGACUUCGGUCCAAAGAUUUAUCGCCCAGGGAUGAGCCCGCGUAGGAUUAGCUAGUUGGUGAGGUAAAGGCUCACCAAGGCGACGAUCCUUAGCUGGUCUGAGAGGAUGAUCAGCCACACUGGGACUGAGACACGGCCCAGACUCCUACGGGAGGCAGCAGUGGGAAUAUUGGACAAUGGGCGAAAGCCUGAUCCAGCAAUGCCGCGUGAGUGAUGAAGGCCUUAGGUUGUAAAGCUUACGUUUUACCCGGGAUGAUAAUAGACAGUAACCGGGAGAAGUAACGCCCCGGACUAACCCCGUGCUAGCAGGCCG